CCUACGGGUGGCAGCAGUGGGGAAUAUUGCGCAAUGGACGAAAGUCUGACGCAGCGACGCCGCGUGAGGGAUGAAGGUUUUCGGAUCGUAAACCUCUGUCAGGAGGGAAGAAAGCGCAUGGCGCCAAUCAGCUAUGCGUGUACGGUACCUCCACAGGAAGCGCCGGCUAACUCCGUGCCAGCAGGCGCGGUAAUACGGAGGGCGCGAGCGUUAAUCGGAAUUUCUGGGCGGAAAGCGCGCGUAGGCCGUUGUGUCAGUUGGGGGGGAAAUGCCAGGGCUCAAACGUGGAACAGCCCUUGAAACUGUGCGACUUGAGGGCGGGAGAGGGAGGCGGAAUUCCAGGUGUAGGGGUGAAAGGCGUAGAUAUGUGGAGGAACACCAGUGGCGAAGGCGGCCAACUGGACCGGAAUUGACGCUGAGGCGCGAAAGCGUGGGGAGCAAACAGGAGUAGAUACCCGUGUAGUC
rnacentral:rRNA from 1 species